GACGAACGCUGGCGGCGUGCUUAACACAUGCAAGUCGAACGGAAAGGCCUCUUUCGGGGGGUACUCGAGUGGCGAACGGGUGAGUAACACGUGAGUAACCUGCCCUUGACUUUGGGAUAACCUCAGGAAACUGGGGCUAAUACCGGAUAGGAGCUCCUGCUGCAUGGUGGGGGUUGGAAAGUUUCGGCGGUUGGGGAUGGACUCGCGGCUUAUCAGCUUGUUGGUGGGGUAGUGGCUUACCAAGGCUUUGACGGGUAGCCGGCCUGAGAGGGUGACCGGCCACAUUGGGACUGAGAUACGGCCCAGACUCCUACGGGAGGCAGCAGUGGGGAAUAUUGCACAAUGGGUGGAAGCCUGAUGCAGCAACGCCGUGUGCGGGAUGACGGCCUUCGGGUUGUAAACCGCUUUCGCUCAUGACGAAGCUUUGUGUGACGGUAGUGGGUAAAGAAGCACCGGCUAACUACGUG
rnacentral:rRNA from 1 species